rnacentral:rRNA from 1 species
UACGGGGGGAGCAAGCGUUGUUCGGAUUUACUGGGCGUAAAGGGCGCGUAGGCGGCCACCGCAAGUCAGUUGUGAAAUCUCUGGGCUUAACCCAGAACGGUCAGCUGAUACUGCGGGGCUAGAGUGCAGAAGGGGCAACUGGAAUUCUCGGUGUAGCGGUGAAAUGCGCAGAUAUCAGGAGGAACACCGGUGGCGAAGGCGGUUCUCUGGGCAUUACCUGACGCUGAGGAGCGAAAGCAUGGGGAGCGAACAGG